UACAGAGGUCCCAAGCGUUGUUCGGAUUCAUUGGGCGUAAAGGGUGCGUAGGCGGCGCGGUAAGUCGGGUGUGAAAUCUCGGAGCUUAACUCCGAAACUGCAUUCGAUACUGCCGUGCUUGAGGACUGGAGAGGAGACUGGAAUUUACGGUGUAGCGGUGAAAUGCGUAGAGAUCCGGAGGAACCCCAGAGGCGAAGGCGGCGUCCUGGCCCAUUUCUGACGUUCAGACAUGACAGCAUGGGGAGCGAACGGG
rnacentral:rRNA from 1 species